GACGAACGCUGGCGGCGUGCUUAACACAUGCAAGUCGAACGGAAAGGCCCCCUUGUGGGGUACUCGAGUGGCGAACGGGUGAGUAACACGUGAGUAACCUACCCUUGACUUUGGGAUAACUUCAGGAAACUGGGGCUAAUACCGGAUAGGAGCUCCUGCUGCAUGGUGGGGGUUGGAAAGUUUCGGCGGUUGGGGAUGGACUCGCGGCUUAUCAGCUUGUUGGUGGGGUAGUGACUCACCAAGGCUUUGACGGGUAGCCGGCCUGAGAGGGUGACCGGCCACAUUGGGACUGAGAUACGGCCCAGACUCCUACGGGAGGCAGCAGUGGGGAAUAUUGCACAAUGGGCGGAAGCCUGAUGCAGCAACGCCGCGUGCGGGAUGACGGCCUUCGGGUUGUAAACCGCUUUCGCCUGUGACGAAGCGUGAGUGACGGUAAUGGGUAAAGAAGCACCGGCUAACUACGUG
rnacentral:rRNA from 1 species